rnacentral:lncRNA from 1 species
UUGUAAGCGUGUUAGCAAAGUGUUUAUUAGACCAUUUUCUUUUUAAAAAAUUUUGGGGACAAAAAUAAUGCCACCUUUUGAAAGUGACAAGGAACUAGAGAAUUCCUUUUUCCUCCAUCGAAAAUGAGAGGAACCUAUCCAAUUUAAUACAAUAGAGCUAAAUAAUUUCCUGGUAGACUACAUUGAAGAAAUUCUGUUUAAAUAGUU